UACGUAGGGUGCAAGCGUUAAUCGGAAUUACUGGGCGUAAAGCGUGCGCAGGCGGUUUUGUAAGUUUGUCGUGAAAUCCCCGGGCUCAACCUGGGAAUGGCGAUGAAGACUGCAAGGCUGGAAUCUGGCAGAGGGGGGUAGAAUUCCACGUGUAGCAGUGAAAUGCGUAGAGAUGUGGAGGAACACCGAUGGCGAAGGCAGCCCCCUGGGUCAAGAUUGACGCUCAUGCACGAAAGCGUGGGGAGCAAACAGG
rnacentral:rRNA from 1 species